rnacentral:rRNA from 1 species
UACGUAGGGUGCAAGCAUUAAUCGGAUUUAUUGGGCGUAAAGGGCGUGUAGGCUGGAACGUAAGUCAACUGUGAAAUCCCGGGGCUCAACCCCGGAACGGCAUUUGAGACUGCGUUUCUUGAGGGUAGGCGGAGAAAAUGGAAUUCCACGUGUAGCGGUGAAAUGCGUAGAUAUAUGGAAGAACACCUGUGGCGAAAGCGGUUUUCUAGCUUAUUCCUGACGCUGAGGCGCGAAAGCAAGGGGAUCAAACAGG